GGUCCCCUGGUGGAAUUGGUAGACACAAGGGACUUAAAAUCCCUCGGGCGUAAGCCUGUGCCGGUUCGAUUCCGGCGGGGACCACCA
rnacentral:tRNA from 1 species